UAUGUGAUCGUCUCUCGCAUAUCAAUAAGCGGAGGAAAAGAAACUAACAAGGAUUCCCCUAGUAACGGCGAGUGGAGCGGGAAGAGCUCAAAUUUGAAAUCUUAAAGGGUUUCCCUUUACGAAUUGUAGUUUAAAGAAGUGUUUUCUGUUGAGGUUUUGGUAAAAGUUCUUUGGAAUAGGACAUCAUAGAGGGUGAGAAUCCCGUAUUUGACCUUUACUUUCAACUUUGUGAUACACUUUCAAAGAGUCGGAUUGUUUGGGAAUGCAGUCCAAAAUGGGUGGUAAAUUUCAUCUAAAGCUAAAUAUUGGCGAGAGACCGAUAGCGAACAAGUACCGUGAGGGAAAGAUGAAAAGAACUUUGAAAAGAGAGUUAAACAGUACGUGAAAUUGUCAAAAGGGAAGCGUUUGACACCAGUGUUGUUUUUCUGAAAAUCAAUUAAAGAACUGUUUAUGCUAAGUUGUUUAGACUUUAUCAGCUAACUGUUUAGUUUUGAGCUUUUCUUUAAUGCACUUUUCAGUUAACAAGUCAACAUCAAUUUCUUUUGCUGUAAAAAAGCUUGAGGAAGGUGGCUUGAGAUUCGUUUUAAGUGUUUAUAGCCUCUUGCCUAUGCAGUCGGAGAGAUUGAGGUCUGCAGCGUAGAUCCUUCGGGGCUAAAUGCAUUUGUGCUAAGUUAUAGCAUUUUAUAGACAACUUGUUGACUAUGAUUUGUCUUGUAGCUUACUCGCUUAUGUUAUUUUACCUACGCUUAGGAUGUUGAGUAGCGACAUACGCAC
rnacentral:rRNA from 1 species